ensembl:lncRNA
AUGGAGUUUGAGGAUACUGAGAAUUUGAUUUUCAUUUGUUUUGAAAUGUUGAUUUUAGGCCUGAUGGAGGUGAAUUUCACACAAAAACAAGCUGGAAAAACUGGACUCAAAGGAUCUUUCACCUGCUCUGAUUGUGGAAAGAGUUACAUACAUAAAAUGCAAAACAUGAAAUCUCACACUGGAGAAAGAACAUUCACAUGCAGUCAGUGUGGAAACAGUUACACGCUUCAAAAACUUGUGCACAAGAUAUCAUACUGGAGAGAGGCCUUAUUCAUGCACUCUGUGUGGAAAGAGUUUUUAACACCAUACUGACCACAGAUCAAGUGUGUAUUUACAUUUUUUCAACUGGAAUGGCACCAAAUAUUUUUCAAUUCCUAUUUAAAUUGACAUUUACAAUAUAAGAGAAAAUAAAAUCAGUUAUGAAACCUGAAUGAAAUACACAUGGAGAUCUGUUUUUGAAUGAAUAUGUUCAGUUGGUUUGUGCAUAGCCUAUUAUUUCCUGUUAUAUAAUGAUUUGUGCUGUAGCAAUGUAUAAUUUUAUUUGCCAUUUCAUCUUGUAUUUCUUAUAAAAGUGAUAUAAUGACUAAACUAGUCAGUUUAAAUUUCCACUAUAUACUUUUGCAUCUGACAGGCUUCACAUGAUGUAUUUGCUUCAAUUCACAAGCUUGUGACUUACUUCACAGAUCUCCAUUUUCCACUUUUUCAUGUUGUUUCCAAACAUCUCAAGCAUUUGAUCUGAUUUGGUCACAUUGUUCAGUUCACUAGAAUUAACACAAUAUACUGAUCUAGGUCAUCCUUGCAUUUCAUGUCAAAUUUUGUGCUUUAUACAUUAUAAAUAAUAUUUUUUAUAAUUCAGUGCAGUUAUGGCAUCAAGGUUCUGCCGACUCGUGAUGCAUUCAUGAUGCAACCAAAAUGCCUGCGAGUUUGCACAGAGAAGAACUUCUGCUGUCUAGUGGCCAAAGAUGGUAACAAGAGCUAGUUCAGGUUUGCAUUAUAAUGCACCUGAAUUCAUCAUAACUUGCUUUAUAUUCAAUAGACCAGCAAUAACAAAACAUCUGAAAAUGUAUUACUAUGGUUCACUUUAAAUAAAUUAACAUUUUGAAUAUAUAUUUAAACAGGGGCGUCAAUUGGGUGUGGCGGUUACCUGGUCAGGUUAAUGCGAAGUAAUAUAUUUUUAUUGCAGGAUUAACAGAGAUAUAUUGCUAUGUAUAAUCUAAUUUGACAAAAGCAAGUAAUUUAAGCUAAAUAAAGCUUUCCAUUGAUGUAUGGUUUGUUAGGAGGACAAUAUUUGGCCGAGAUACAACUAUUUGAAUUUUUUUUCUAAUUUAAAGCAGUUUUAAUAUAUAUAUAUAUUUUAAUGGCCAUUUUUGCAUAAAUAUUCUCUCUCUCUCUCUCUCUCUCUAGGCUACAGUGUGUGUGUUUUAAUGUGUUUUUAUGGAUAUUGGGCGUGUUUCACAUUCCUAAAUGAAAAUUUCCCAUAUAACACUGGAACAUUUUGCCUUCUUCUCCCAGAAAGGAUCAUGUUCAAGCAGGUGAUAUGGACGUCAGUCGAUGUUGGAUCAGGCCUAUUCCAAUACAGUAUCCAGAUUUGUUUGCUUCAGGGGCAAUUUUCUCAUUUUUACUGCAUUGUGGUUGUUCUCUUUCUUUGCAUGACUCUUAACAAAAUAUUCUUGAUGUACACAAAUACAAGGUUACCCAACUUACAAUAAAACAUACUGCAAGUGUCAACAUUCAUGGUUUAAAAUAUGCCUUACUGUUUUAUAUCCUUAUUAAACACCUGGAUUUGAAAUUGGGAGAACCGUGACGUCACAAUUCUCCUCGACAUGCCCCUAAACAUGCAUAUUCAUCAUAUUGAAUCAAGGAGUUAAAAACAUUUACAUUUAGUCAUUUAGCAGACCCUUUUAUCCAAAGCGACUUACAGAUGAGAACAAUGGAAGCAAUCAAAAUGAACAAAAGAGCAAUGAUAUACAAGUGCUAUAACAAGUCUCAGUUAGCUUAACGCAAUACACAUGGCAAGGGCUUUUAAAUAAUAUAAUAAAUAAAAAGAAAACAGAUAGAAUAGAAAAAGAAUAGAGCAAGCUAGUGUUAGAGGUCUUUUUUUUUGCUUUUGUCAAUUGUAUAAUAAAUAAAAAGAAAACAGAUAGAAUACAAAAAGAUUAGAAAGCUAGUUAGAAUUUUUAAGAAUAGAAUUAGAAUAGUGAGUGCUAAAGUUAGAGGGUCAAAUAAAGAUGGAAGAGAUGUGUUUUUAGCCGAUUCUUGAAGAUGGCUGUUCUUGAGUGUGCUGUACAUGAACUGUAUCACUCACCUCUUUGAUUCUGAUACAUCAGAUUGACUCUCAGGUAUUUCUGCAUCACGAGAGACUGAAGAUGCAAAAAUAAUAGGCUACUGCUUAUUACCCUCAUAGAGUUUGCUGGAUGAAUUGUUGCAUAUUAGAAGAGGUGAUAACGUAAAAGCGAGUGAGAAAAAAUAAGCUGCUCUCUGUUUAUCACUAUAACUGAACUUCAAGUUACUCCAAUAAUAAAAAAAAAAAAACGCAAGCAACUAGAAAGUGACUGAUUUUAUAUUCCCUGUGGUUUCUUUUCAAGUUUUAAUAUCCAUCAAGGAUUCAUCAGGGCUAUUAAAUACUCACAGUGUGGUUUCGGAUCACUCAUUCUAUUCCGUUUAACAAUAUUUUCCACAUUUGCUGGUUUAAAUCACCUGAUUCAGGAUGUUAUCACUCGACUGAAUGGCCGUUAUCAGUGAUAACAUCUGAAUCGGGUGGUUUUGAUCCUCUGGCUUGUGAAUUUUCCUCCAUCCUCUUCCUCUUAAUCUCUCUCCUCUAAUUCUUCCAUCUUUUAUGUGUUUUCCCGAACAAAUCGCACUAAAUAAACUGCGGGGCAUUGUUUUUUUCUCUCUGUCUCUGUGAACAUUACUACAUAAAAAUACCAGUCUUUCAGAUAUCAAUGUAUUUAUGUUUUCA